CUGUGGGCUUAGCCUUGUGGUUACUUCGUAAUAUUGAACUCUUGUUGAAUUCUUCCUACCUUGACACCACUGGCGCUGUCUCACACUCUU
rnacentral:vault_RNA from 1 species